rnacentral:tRNA from 1 species
GGCCGGUUAGCUCAGCUGGUUAGAGCGUGGUGCUAAUAACGCCAAGGUCGUGGGUUCAAUCCCCAUACUGCCCA